GUUUGAAAUGUGUGCAGCAUGGCGUGUGCACAGCGAUCUGCUAAAGAGUACCUCAGAAACAACAGGAAAGACCUGGUGACUGGCAUGAAAAACCUUCCUCUGAUCAUUGAGAAUCUUUAUCAGAAGAAGGUUUUCAAUGACUAUGAGGUCAAAGAUCUCAAAGCCGAGAGGACAGAGUAUGAUCAAGCCAGAUGUAUAUUGGAUUGGGUCGUUAACAAAGGAGAUGAGGCCAGUUAUGAAUUACUCAAGAUUCUGGAUGUCACUAAGAAGAGGACAUUAGAUCCUGGUUUACACCACUGGAUCAGCUGUUCUCCCUUCAGAGAUGAAGACGCAGAGCCCAGCUAUUCAUUUGGUACAAAGCCUUGUAAAAACUACCAGAAACAGCUCAAGGACAAAGCAAAGGAGAAAUGUUUCUUUAAAUAUCUGUUGAAGACACAAGGAAACUUCAGUUUCAUACCUCUUGUUUUAGAGACCGACUCUGAGGUAAAAUCACCUCAAUGCAAAAUAAAUUUGAAAAGUAAAAAAUGCAAAAAGCUUCGGCCCAAGAAGCUGAGAGCUUACAUUCCUAACGAGGGACAAGCGCUAUCACCCGAGGACCUCCUGAGAUGGCAGGACAAGAACAUCCUCAUCAUCGGCAAACCUGGAGUAGGAAAGACUACAGUUGUCCAGGAAAUGCUGCGUCUUUGGGGAGAGAAGGAUGGAAGAGAGAUAGACUACAUGUUUUACUUUGAUCAAUAAUCAUGUUCUUCUAGAUGUCAUCUUGAAGAAUCAAGAGCUGUUCAGUCUUAGUCAUGUCCCAUUGUAUGCAUUCAUGAUUGUAGACUUGAUUAAGUUUAAAAAUGACACUGUAUGCAACCAUCCACACACAGUCACUGAAAUGUACAUCCACAUUUUCCGUCUUGCUGUAAAGAAACAUGGGAAUAAACAAAAUAAGCAAAUGGAUAUGUAUCUAAAAGAGAAGAAAGAUCAGAUUGAUCCCUUGAUGGAAAAUGCUUUCAGUGCAACUAAGCAGAAGUGCCUGAACCUUCCACAUAUUAGCAGUGAUGAGACAGACAUUUGUCAUGCUUUUCUGAAAAUGAUCACAACAACAGACUCGCCAACAUCUGCAACAACAUACUGUGCGUUUCUCCACAACACAAUGCAGGAAUUCUUCUCGGCUUUGUGGCUUCUUGGACAUCCAGAUGAAAUUGAGGAAGUCCUACAGCUCUGUCAGACCGAGGAGCAUAAACACAUGAGACAUGUUCUUCCUUUCUUAUGUGGACUUCUGAGUGAACACAACACCAGACUCCUCAAGUGUCUCUUCCCAGAGGAUCAGAUAAAGAAAACAUCUGACUGGUUCAUUGAGAAGCUUUUGGACACGUUUCUUCAACCUCAGAGUGAGAGUGAAGAGUUUGAUCUUCUCUAUGUGUGUCAGUGCUUGUAUGAGCUCCAGUCUCCUAAAGCCUGUUUAAUUUUCUUGGAGAAGAUGAACCAUCAGCUUGAACCAGAAGUGGAUCUUGAUCCUCAUCAGUGUUGUGCUCUGUCUUACGUGAUCAGUCAAUCCAGAGAUAAAGAGGUUUAUCUGAAUCUGGACAACUGUACCGUAGCUGAUGUAGGAAUGGACAUGAUGCUUAGCUGCUCACCAAACAUCAGGUUAAAGACUUGUAAAGAACCACUGAAGCAAACCACGUUCUUUGUAGAAUUCUUCCAUAAAUCAUCUCAGUGUGACUGCAAACUUUUUGAGGUGAGAGGACGAUACAAGCCAGAAACAUUCAAUGCUCUGCUGGAUCUGUACUCUCAUGUGAAGAACUAUGAGACUCAAACAGGCAGGAGUUAUCUUCCAGCAUUACAGUCAGUUUUCCAGUCACCUGAUGAAUGGAUCAUAGAUCUCUCAGAGAGAAAGAGCUCGGUCCUCCUGGAAGUGCUGAAGCUCCAGACAGAGAAGAAAACAGUAGAGCUGAGAAGAUGUUCAGAGGAAGAGAGUGAAGUGAUGAGUUUCCUUCAGUGUCUGCCACACAUCUCACAGCUGAGGUUCUGGUUCAUUUAUAAAGAAUCAAGGAUGUCUGCAGUAAGAUUUCUGCUGAAUCUCUGUGUUGCUGCAGUAGAAACUGACAGACAUACAGGAACAAGAUUCUCCACUCUGCUCUCAUCUGUGUGCAGCUACAAAACCUUCCCUUUUAAUAAAGAUGGUGAUGUUCAGAUUGAUUUCCUGCUGGACCUGUACUCUCAUGUGAAGAACUAUGAGACUCAAACAGGCAGGAGUUAUCUUCCAGCAUUACAGUCAGCUUUCCAGUCACCUGAUGAAUGGAUCAUAGAUCUCUCAGAGAGAAAGAGCUCUGUCCUCCUGGAAGUGCUGAAGCUCCAGACAGAGAAGAAAACAGUAGAGCUGAGAGGAUGUUCAGAGGAAGAGAGUGAAGUGAUGAGUUUCCUUCAGUGUCUGCCACACAUCUCACAGCUGAGACUGCCCAAAGAGACUGUCCAGAAACUUGCUGAAUGUGUCUGUGAAGCUCAGGAAGAGGAACUGACUCGAUGCUUCCUGCAGAAAGUGAGCGGGGAUCUGACUUCCUGUUCCUUGAGCUGGGAACAGCUUCAUUAUUUCCUGCAGCAAAGAAUUCAACAAAUCACUGUGGACUUCAGAAAGAGCAACAUUCAAUGCCGAAUCAGUGAAAUUCUGCCAUUCCUGAACAGGAUUCAGUUUAAACGGAUGAGCUCUAGUUUCAUGCUGUGUGCAAUCAGAGAGAUCUACGAGUCCGGCUCUGCUGGGUUUGUGUCCGGUCUGUUGAGUUCAGUGGAGAACUACAUUAACCUGCAGAGCAGAGAGCUGGACUCUGUUCACUGUGAAGCCCUGCGCUUCACACUGCAACACUGCACUGCAGCUUCACUCAACCUGCUCUGGACCUCCAUACCAGAGGAAGAGCUGCAGAGCAUUCUGCCUCUCUUCACGCAUCUCUCCCACCUCAGUGUUGACAGACUGCUGUUGCUGAAGAUGCUUCACUGCUGCAGUGUCUCUGAUGUCCAGCAGGAGGCAGCAUCAGUUCUGCUCUCGAUCCUGCAGCACAAGCUGGACUUCUCCUGCCGGUCUGCUUUGGAUCUGACAACAAACACAGACUCAGAGCCUCUACAUCUGACCGCUGACGACUGCCGUGUGACGUCCAGAUUUAUUCAGAGAGCUCACUCAGACACAAAGACACGGCUGAUUCUGCAGGACUGUGAGAUUCAUACAGCUGGAAUGGAUCAGCUGUUCCCAGUGUUACGUUCUGUUCAGCUCUGUUGUGAUAAACCUCUGCUUCUUCAGUUUCUGGCUCACGUGAGGCCUGAGGAAGCCCAGUCUCUCUCUGGAGCUCUGGGUGAAGAGCUGGAUCUCAGUCAGACUCAGCUGGAUCUGCAGGUCUGGAGAGGUCUGGAGCUGAUUCUGGAAUAUUCUGAAGGACUGACAGAACUGGAUCUGAGUCAGUGCAGUCUCACCGAUCACAGCCUGGAUCUGCUGCUCCCAAACCUCCACAAA
ensembl:lncRNA